ensembl:lincRNA uncharacterized LOC106005853
CACUAGCCCAAGGAGAAGAAGACUCUGUGCCCCAGGCCCCUCAUAUCUAUGACGGCAUGUGAUCCUCCCAACCAUGGUGAAAGGGACUGCGAGGACUCGGACUUGUCCCCAGAGAGAGGGAGCAACUGAAGACGGUUUCACAGAUGAUGAUAAAAUGGAACAAGUGUACAGCGAGGAAACCGGAGGCCUGAGUUCCGGCCCCAGCUCUGUGCUGACAAACAAGCUGUGUGUCCUUGAGCAAACCUCUUGCCCUCUCUGAGCCUCCAUGAGAGCAAGUUAUAGCGAUUACAGUGAGUUCUGCCUUACAGAAGCCAGACAUAAUAUGCAGCAAAAUCAGCGGCUAUGUGCUGAUGCAUGGCCUCGGGGGCCAUCCGAGCUCCAUGUUGUGGAGGCAAUAUGGAGUGGUCCAGGAGGAGCCAGGAAAGCAGGAGAGGAAGAAGCUGGGGCGUUUCCUUCUGACCCUUCCCUGCUCCGACAACUGUCGCAUACCUCCUGAUCUAUCAGGUCAGCCGGCACGCCCCACACUCGUGCCACGGACAGUACAUGAAAACCGCCUUCAAGAGGCAGCGGCACCCAGACCUCAGCCUCCAGCAAGGUCAGACGGAAGGAGUCCGACCUGCCCAGCACCCUUCAAGGGAGUCGCCCGGCUCCAUGGCCGUCAGAGGAAGCCAUUUCUCAUCCUAGACAAGCAAUUCUGGAAGCUACCAGAGCUGUGGCUUAGAAUAUACUCAGGAGCCCCCAUCUGGCUUCUUUCCAUGUCUAAUGCAGGCAUUUUCCUCAUGUGCAGAAUUCCAGAUUUCUACAGUACCCAACGUUUCCCAGGCUUCUGUGACUCAAAACCAUGGUCACCGUGUCGCCAUAUGCUCAUCAUUGUGCAUGCUUUAUUAUUUAUCAAAUGUUUUCCUUUUCACGGGCACUCACCUAGCACCCCCGCCUUUCUCUUGAAUAUGUUUUCAAAGAAAAUCAUGCCUCAGCAAAGGAGAACCACUGAGGCACAGACUCUGGAAGCAGGCUUUCUGGAUUCAAAUCCUGCCUCUGGUAUCCACUAGCUGUGUGACCCUGGACAAGUGCUUUCACCUCUCUGUGAUUUGGUUUUCUCCUCUAUAAAGUGGACAUAAUAACAGGAUCUUAUGUCUUAAGCGAAUGAAAGGAGUUAAGACUGUAAAACCUUUACAAAAGUGCCCAGAACACGCACUGUUGCGAGCGGCGGUUGUUUUUGCUGGAAAUGGAAAACAAGUUCUCACCAGGUACAUAGAGAAGGUAGAGGGGAAAUGCAAAUUCAAAAUUUAAAAAAAAAAAAAAAAAAAGUCGUAUCCAAUUUUCUUUGUUAGAAGGAGAAAUUAGCAAAAUACCAGGCAUUAAAGCCACAUUGGCACCAAGCUGAAGUUUUCUUUCUGGGGUAAUGGGAGAAUGAAUGACAUCUGAACAAGGCAGAAUGCUUUCGCCUGGUGAUUUAAAGCUCUGUCCUUGUGUCAACCACAAUCGUGCUUUGUGCUCUAUGCUGCCAUCCUCUCUGGUUCCCCACCCCAGUGACAGGGCAAAUGGGUCCAAGAGAUGGAAGACACCCGUCCAAGGGCACAGGCAAAUUAAUAUUGGAGCGUAAGCCGCGACAGCUGACUGUUCCUGGUGUCACACAGGUGUCUGACUUGAGCUUGCGUUGCAGAGAUGUCUGCGUCCAAAGACAUCCUUUCCAGAAGCAUCCAGGGCUGUCUUGAAUGAACACAUUGAUUGCCAGCCACCCUGACUCAAUAAAGAGCCAGAUUGCCACCUUCCCCCACGGAGGCACCUCUGUUUUAGAAAUUGGGGUUGAUUUUCAUAAUUGCCCAUUUGGGCCACUUUUUUUUCCCCCUCUUCCUGCACUUCAAUUCCCACUCUUGCAUUUUAGGUUUUACAAUAAAUAGGGAGCCCAAGAAACUCUAGGACCCGCUCUUGACCCCCCCAAAAGAAGAAACUCUCUCUCUCUCAUUCCCCAAACCUCCUCUCCCUUGACCUACUCUCCCCCUCACUUUGUGGCCAAUAAUGUUACUAUGGAAAGGAUGAGACCAUACAAAUACAGCCCAGCCAGAGAGGCUCUGGACCCAGAGACUCCGGGAAUCUAUAUCCAACAUGAAUACCCGAGAACUUCAGUCCAGCUCUGUUCAAUGGGCUCAUGUCUUUAGGCGCCUGCCAUAAAAA